AAAUAUUUGUAUGCAUGGAUAAAUUUUAACAAAUAAGUAAAAAUUGAUUCUUCCAGGUUGAAUUUUGUUGUCUUUACAAUUGAUAAUGUUAUUAACUUUUUUAACCUCCGGACCGGAUUUAUCAACUUCACAUUUUGCAAUCAGCCAAAUAAUAACAGAAAAUGUUUCGCUCACCUCUAAAACCUGAGUCGGCCAAAAGUAGAAGCUAGGACACCUUCCCACGAUCCACUUGAUUCGACUAGAGUGCUAGAAAUUCAUUUUCGCGGACUAUUUUUUUACUAACGCUUCCUCAACAGUGCUAGUCUUAGCUAUAUCAACUCUAUGGAAGAUGGGAAAUUUUGGUCAAUACAGCAAAGUCGAAACUUGUCUGCAUCAGGAGACAUGGUGAACAACAGCCAACAAAACACACUCCUUCAGCAGCCAGAAGGAACUAAAAAUAACUCGCAAUCACGAAAUGUGCUGAGGAAAGCUAACCUUACAUUCCAACUAAAAAAAAAGACCAGACUUAAGCCAACUCUAAGAUCUCUAGACUAUACGGAAGCUACAGUUGUUUGAGGGGAAUGUUGUGAUGAUAUGAUCGAUUGCGGCAGCGAAUAAUAAAUCGAGUCUACAAGGCAUUCAAAAUAAUGCCAACUUAUUAGCACCUAGAGGAAUCGGAAAAGAUAUCAACUUGUUAUACCAAUAACCAGCCAAUCUGCUGUUAAAAAGGAUGACUGCCAAGGAACGACAUCCCGUACCUAGAUUCUUGAGUGCCACUCAAAUCUAGGAUAGAAUUCCAACGGACAACGGAGAAACAGUUUCCAUUUACGGUGACUCGGAUUCAACUUUGAACCGUAGGAAUGGCUAAUCGCCAACACAACCUCAACUAAAUAACCAAAUAUUAAUAUCCAAAUACCAAAUGUGACAAAAUUCAUAAGAA